CUCCAUCGCUCCAACUAUCUGGCUGCACUGCACUGACUUGUCCUUCACUCAACCACCCCCCACUAGUAGACGCUCCCUCACAACUCAAAAACCUGGCUGUGCCAACCAUCCCAAGGUUUGGAAACAGGCCGGCAGAGCCUCCCUUUGACCCCCAACAGAGAGGAGGACGUGACAGAAAGAGAGGCCAUAAGACAGACCGAGAUGCAAGAAUGAGCCCGAGAAAAGAGAAAAGCAGGAAGAAGAAAGUGAAGGAGUAAUAAGUAUUAAUUUUGAUUGAUUUUAAUGCUGACAAAUAACAAAUAACAAGUGUGAUGAUUAUAUGCUUAUUGCAAAGUGUGAUUUAACUAAUGAACUGUGAUAAUGUGCUUUAAUGUAAGAUGGUGAUUUAAGAAAAGUGCUAUUGUAUGUCUUAAAAUGAAAGGGUGUGUGUGUGCUACAUUUGGAUGGUAAAAAGGACAGACUGUACUUCUGCAAAACAGAAGAACAAUAGAAAAAGGAGAAGUGGGUUUUUGUCUGGAAAGUUCCAGAGGUCCUGUGGUGGAAACAAGGCGGUUUACCUCACCACGGAAAGUCCGUGAAAGUCCUAUUACAAGAAUCGGCAAAAUUACUUCACUCUGGAAARUACACAAAAAGUCCAGUGGUGGAAAACCCCAGCCUAUCACAGGAUGGCAGGAAGGGGGUGAGAUGGCCCAAAAACAGUAUAAAAAGGGAGCAGUUUCAGCAGUAAGUCAUCUUCUGGCCCCGUCUGGAGAACACGCAGCAAAGGCAAGGACAGCCUAAGAAGAGGAUCACCAGAUCCAAGAGACAUCUCAGCUGGGAUAAGCUGCCCCACUGCUCUCCAGCAACCUACAGGCCAAGGACCAGAUUAAACAACCCAGCGUUGAGAAGUUCUCUCUGGCAACAGUCUGCUGCUUUUCAUGGAGGUAAAAACAACUCGACUCCAAAUUCCUUGCCAUCCAAAUUGACAGAAAAUGCCACACAGCCUAGUCACAAGGUUAGGUCAGCGCCUUAGAUCUUUUUAUUUUUAUCACCAUCAAUUAUUAUUCAAUAUUUUAAUCCGUACAAUCAAAUGUGGCUUUUCUUGCUAAUUUCUAUUAAAUUGCUUACAGCAUCAUAAAGA